AAAAUAUCUUAGCAUAUUUCUUUUCCAGUGAAGAAUACUUUCCUUGAAAAAGGCCUCAGUCUUGUCAUUUGAGCUGCAAGAAGCUUGCCUGUUGCUACUCCAGUGAACAAAAGUAACCUGAACAGUUUUGUACUUCAUCUGAAUCAUGUGGAUGUUUGAACAGGGUUGAAGUAUUGUGCAGAGAUGUCCCACCCCAGAACAGAAA
rnacentral:lncRNA from 1 species